UCAUCGGUUACUGGGCAGAGGAUAUUUAUGUAAAAGAAUCGAUAAAGAAUUACAAUCUAAGAGAUCUGGUUAUCCAGAAUAUUCGCUUUGGUUGUUUUCUGUGGCCACCUCUUAAAAAACUGGUGUCUAAAUUUCCUAAUUUACAACAUUUAGCAAUCAGAAAGUUUGAUAAACUUGAUGUUAGCCAUUUUGAUUUAGAAGAAUUGAUACAAUUAAUACCAAAGUUGAAGAUAUUGGACUUGAGAGGAUGUAAGAAAGUGACGCACAAAUCAGCUGAUUUUCUGUCCAAAUAUUGUGCCAAAAAGAAUCGAUCAAUUGUAAUAUAUUACGAUUGUGAAAACGAGCCCACCGAAUGGCCUAAAUUGGUAAAUACUCGCAAACGAACUUGCUAUGGAUUUGAUUUCAUGAAACAUUGUUUUUAUAAGAAUUUUUUCUCCCUUCCGUAUCUGAUUGAUGAAUGAAAAUCUCACAAUCCUUGAAAUCUUGCGAGAACUUUUCAGCCGAUCAAACCAAGUGAAACAAGAACAACGGAUAAGUUUUUGUUAAUACUUAAUAUUCAUACUAUAUCGACUCAAGCUGAUGACUCAGUCACUUCAACAAUCGACUGACUUUAAUCAAUCGAAAUGCCAACCAAAUCAUGAUGUUGAUUAUUUACUACAAUGUAAUAUUCCCACUUGAGUUGUAUUUUUUACUUUUUACAUCUCUCAUAAUUAAAGGUAUCAUAUCACAUUUAA